UAACACGUAGGGGCCAAGCGUUGUCCGGAUUUAUUGGGCGUAAAGAGCUCGUAGGCGGUUCAGUCAGUCGGGUGUGAAAACUCUGGGCUUAACUCGGAGAGGCCACCCGAUACUGCUGUGACUUGAGUCCGGUAGGGGAGUGGGGAAUUCCUGGUGUAGCGGUGAAAUGCGCAGAUAUCAGG
rnacentral:rRNA from 1 species